rnacentral:rRNA from 1 species
UGAGGAAGAUAAUGACGGUACUCAACAAGGAAGUGACGGCUAACUACGUGCCAGCAGCCGCGGUAAAACGUAGGUCACAAGCGUUGUCCGGAAUUACUGGGUGUAAAGGGAGCGCAGGCGGGAAGACAAGUUGGAAGUGAAAUCCAUGGGCUCAACCCAUGAACUGCUUUCAAAACUGUUUUUCUUGAGUAGUGCAGAGGUAGGCGGAAUUCCCGGUGUAGCGGUGGAAUGCGUAGAUAUCGGGAGGAACACCAGUGGCGAAGGCGGCCUACUGGGCACCAACUGACGCUGAGGCUCGAAAGUGUGGGUAGCAAACAGGAUUAGAUACCCUGGUAGUCCACACCGUAAACGAUGAUUACUAGGUGUUGGAGGAUUGACCCCUUCAGUGCCGCAGUUAACACAAUAAGUAAUCCACCUGGGGAGUACGACCGCAAGGUUGAAACUCAAAGGAAUUGACGGGGGCCCGCACAAGCAGUGGAGUAUGUGGUUUAAUUCGACGCAACGCGAAGAACCUUACCAAGUCUUGACAUCCUGCGACGCASAUAGAAAUAUGUNUUUCCUUCGGGACGCAGAGACAGGUGGUGCAUGGUUGUCGUCAGCUCGUGUCGUGAGAUGUUGGGUUAAGUCCCGCAACGAGCGCAACCCUUAUGGUCAGUUACUACGCAAGAGGACUCUGGCCAGACUGCGCUU